CCAUGUCCUUUCUCCAUUUUGCUCCGUUCUCUAGCUUUAUCCAUCAUUUUAGAGGGCUUAUUAGGGGGCGCCGGAGUAACUGCCGGGAGCACCUCUGCUGCAUUCGGGGCAAGGGGUGUAGGAAGGAUCUUCAGGAACCCAUGUCUGGCUCUUCACAAAUUAAAGGUCGUUGGGAAAGAGGAGGGGGUGCCAAUGACUUUUAGUGUUAAAGCCCGGCCAUCUGGGGGACCUGUCAACUGUCGGGUCAGGCAGCUGGUCUGGACUACUGCAGGAAGCUUCCAAGUAUUUUUUUGUUCGUUUGUUUGAGAUGGAGUUUCGCUCUUGUUACCCAGGCUAGAGUGCAAUGGCGUGAUCCCUGCUCACUGCAACGCGCUUUGUGUACCUUGUGGGACUUAGGUACUCAAUACAUUUUUGUUGAAAAUGAAUCAGUCUCUGAACACUCUGGUGAUAGAUGGUAUAUUACCCUAAAGCUUGCCUGUAAUGUCAUACAGCUAUGUUAGGUCUUUGUUAUCUGGAGUUCCAUGUAACUUUUAUACGUAGUUACUAUUUCUGCUGUUUCAAGCCAUACGGAACUAAACA
rnacentral:lncRNA from 1 species